UCUGAGAAGCAUGCCCAAUAGAAAAUUUAACAAUUAAAUGGCACUGCAAAAGUAAUUAGAAAGUAUAACACAUUUGCACAAUUACUGUAUCAUGAAACCUGUAAAAACUCAGUUACUGGACGGGCAUACAAACUGAAAAUCCUACUGUUUUAUAUAAUCUUCACAUUCCAUUCAUCAAGCAGAUAGUAGCAAUCAUUCUAAUAAAUUGAAUCAAAACUUGGAGACUCCCAAUUACGAAAAGCACAAGCGGUGAACAAACUGAAAGUUAAGUUGGCUGAGAUGGUUGUGCCCUCCAAUUGCAGUCUGAUGGAUCGUGGGUACUAUUACCCUUGUUCGCGACAUAUUUUUCUCAAUCCCCACCUUUGUUUUCCGCCAUCAAUCAUUAAAAAAUCAGGAGUGCGGGCAAUCAAGGGAUUUGGCGGGAGUGUGGGCGAUCACUGGAUUAGUGGGGACAUAAGCAAACAAGGAAUAAAAAGGCAGUUCGAGCGGACGUACAACCAACAUAGGAUUCAGAUCCGAUGGCAAAGGAUCCGUUCGGAUCUAUUGCAAAAUUCCUGUGUUUAGAUUUUUUGCGUUUUUGUAUAAAAAUAUUUUAUAUAUUAAUAUUAAACAUAUAUAAACAAGAGUGGAACAACGAACUAUUUUUUCCACCCACACAGCCUUGCCCCCUCCUAAAAAGUCUUAUCCCCUAAAAAAGCAUGCUUAUCCUCGAUGCACAGGACAUCGGCUAGUUCCUCUCACUCUCUCCCCCUCAUAGCCACUCCAGUCGAUGGCGCCCCUCCCAUCGACGGCGUCGCCCGACCCUUCCUCUCCCCGCCAGGGCGUUGCCCCGCCAUCUCUCCUCCACGCCACAGCUCCGCCCGCACAAUCCUCUCCCUGCGACGGCGUCGCCGGCCUCCUUCUCUCCCCGUCAACAUCUCACGCCGCCGUGUCGACGCCAAUCCCGCGCGCCCGCCGGUCUGGCAUCCUGGGCAGCCAGAACCAGAUGGUAGUUGCAGAAGGGCUCACGGCUCUCCGUACAUGCCGGCCACGUAGCUGUACCAUCCGGAUGUGGGUGGGAAGACCACGGCGCCCUUGUCGUCGACCCUUGUCUUCUACCCCACUCAAACUGCGCUGAGCACAGUCGCACUGCUGCCUCGUCGAUCUCCAUGAUAGGCCACCCCAGGCCGAUAGGUAUUGCACCAAUGUAGCCAAUUAACCUCUGAAUUUCCAAAGUGUAGAAUACUUCUUUUCAUGCCUUCAUAUUUUUGGAGAAUACAAUGUUGUUCUGAAGUACCACCAGGCUAGUUCAGAAAACUGGUAUCAGUUAUUUGCGCAAUGUAUUCACAUAUGCCUCUUCUACUGUACAAUGUUCUUUUUCCUUGUGAGCUAUUGAUCGCAAUGUUUGACUAAAAUGGAUUCAAGGAUAUACAUAAGCAUAUGAAUGCAGACAUACAGAUGCAUUAUCCGGAAAAAGAAAGAUUCAGAAGUAUUAGAGAUGCCAUCUGUUGAAGCUAGACAUAAGUACCUGAAAUACAUUGGAGCCAUGCUCUUCAUGAUAUAAUAGACAGCUAUGUAUCAUCUUCCAGACACAACUAAAAUUUAUUUGCUAAACAAGCAGGGCAUUACUCAAGUGAGCUGAUGAAGUAAGAGGAAUCCAGAGGCGUGGGAUUUGCACUGUGUAUCAUUUUAAGCAUGGUUGGCCGCAUCGUUGGCUCCUCUUGAAAGCACAUGUACUACUUGCACCAAGAGCAAGAAUUUAACAGUAGAAAAGCCGUAUCAACUAUAUGUAUGCCCCAAUGCGAUCAACAACAAAAAAUUAUGCUCGCAAUUACCUGGCACGGGCACUGGAGUCAUUUGGGAAGGAUGCUCAAGAUUAGGAAUGUCACCAAGAGGGGCUCGGCUAGAGUUAUCACCAAGAGGGGAUAGGCACAGAUUUGUCGCCUCCAUAUCUUCAAGCGUCAUGGUCUGUCGGCGCUUGUAACGAAAUAAAAUAAACCAUUAUUAUUUCUGUGAACUGUACACAUUAAAUAUAUACUGGGCCAAAAUCUAACUUUGAAGCAUGCGAUCAGGUUAGGCGAGAUAAUCUACAUCUGCACUAUUAGAUUAGUACAUUGUCAUACUUUGCUUCAAUGAAAAACACAGCAUCAGUGAUACAACUUUGUUUCACUAAUUGAUCAGUACAUAUGUUUUUCAACCAUUAGGUUUUUGACCAGGUAUAUUUGUCUUGAAUGGAAGGACAAACACAAAGAACCAUUACAUCAAGAAGCUAUCAAGCUUGAGGGUCUCACAUAUUUUCACGACGCUUUCUGAAGUGUAAGUUACUAAGUUGAAAUCUGUUCUCUCAGCACUAUUUUAUCAUGUAUGAUAUUUUUAUUCUUUCUUUCCCAGAACUUAUCUCUUUCCUUGUGUUGGAAAUGAUAUUUUAUAUGGUUACUUGACGGUAUGAGCCAGAGCUAUUUCCUAGUCUGAUUUCUCCUGGGUGUACUCUGCUUUCUGAUGUCUGAUUUGAUGACAAGAAUAUUGUGUCGACGGUCAGCGCCUGGAUUGUAAAUUGGACUUAAAAGCAAAUAGCUCUCUAGGCACGUAAUGCAGAUUAUAACCCCAAGGUCGGCUCAGUGUUGGCCUUGUGCCCCACGCGAUCCCGGGUCCUGAGCGACCCGAGCAGUCUGAAGCAGCCCACGUCAGACAACGCAUGGGCAGGGAUGAUCAUCUGCUCUUCUCUUUUAUUAUUAUUAUUAUUAUUAUUAUUAUUAUUAUUAUUAUUAUUAUUAUUAUUAUUAUUAUUAUUAUUAUUAUUCAAGUAGUGUCUAAUGAUCCAUUGUGCUGGUUUUCCUCACAAUUAUAGAGUAUAACUAGAAGUCCCAAGGUUGUUGCCGCUCCUGUUCUACCAAGCAUCGGGUGCUGUUGGAGCAUCGUAAUGAUAGAGCUAGUUUGGUUUUACUUUCUUGUGAAACAAAGUACAAUAGUACAAUUCACAGGAGAAGAUCAAUCACACCCGCCCAUGAAAUCUAGUUUUCCAAAACUAGUAUUAGUACUCUACGUACAUAUUAUUACUGCUUCACGCGAACAUUCAAGUGAUAUUUAUCCUUGAUAAGAUUGCUUAGUUAAAGUGCUCUUGAGUACUUUCGGGACUUUCAUUGUACCGUUGUUCGUAAAAAAAUCAAU